CUGGGUGACGAUACAGGAGGAGGACCCACCCGGACCCAUCCCGAACCCGGCCGUUAAGCUCCUCCUGGCCUAUGGUAGUAUGGGGGAGACCCCACGUGAGAGUCGGUAUCGCCCGGG
rnacentral:rRNA from 1 species